rnacentral:rRNA from 1 species
GCUCGUAGUUGGAUUUCGGUCCGGGGGUGGCGGUCCGCCGAAAGGUGUGCACUGCCGCGCCCGGUCUUCCUGCCGGGGACCUGCGUGCUCUUAAUUGACGUACGUAUGGGAAUCGGCGCUGUUACUUUGAAAAAAUUAGAGUGUUCAAAGCAGGCAUUUGCUCUGAAUAUAUUAGCAUGGAAUAACGCAAUAGGACUCGGGUUCUAUUUUGUUGGUUUUCGGAACCGGAGUAAUGAUUAAUAGGGACAGUUGGGGGCAUUCGUAUUCCGAUGUCAGAGGUGGAAUUCUUGGAUUUUCGGAAGACGAACUUCUGCGAAAGCAUUUGCCAAGGAUGUUUUCAUUAAUCAAGAACGAAAGUUAGGGGAUCGAAGAUGAUCAGAUACCGUCGUAGUCUUAACCAUAAAUGAUGCCGACUAGGGAUCAGCGGAUGUUUUUUUGAUGACUCCGUUGGCACCUUAUGAGAAAUCAAAGUUUUUGGGUUCCGGGGGGAGUAUGGUCGCAAGGCUGAAACUUAAAGGAAUCGACGGAAGGGCACCACCAGGAGUGGAGCCUGCGGCUUAAUUUGACUCAACACGGGGAAACUUACCAAGUCCAGACAUAGUAAGGAUUGACAGAUUGAGAGCUCUUUCUUGAUUCUAUGGGUGGUGGUGCAUGGCCGUUCUUAGUUGGUGGAGUGAUUUGUCUGGUUGAUUCCGUUAACGAACGAGACCACAGCCUGCUAACUAGUACGCCGAUGGUUUCAUCGGCGCCUACUUCUUAGAGGGACUAUUCCGGGAAACGGAAUGGAAGUUUGUGGCAAUAACAGGUCUGUGAUGCCCUUAGAUGUUCUGGGCUGCACGCGCGCUACACUGAUGAAAUCAACGAGUUUACAACCUGGGCCGAAGGGCUUGGGUAAUCUUUUGAAACUUCAUCGUGAUGGGGCUAGAUUAUUGCAAUUAUUAAUCUUCAAC